GCUCUCUCUGAUCACUUGUCCUGAUAUAAGCCAGACAUUCAAGCAGCCCUAUGGAAAGGUCAACAUGGUGAUGAGCUGAGGCCUUCUGCCAACAACCAGCACUAAUUUGUGAGGCAUGUGAGUGAACCACCUUGGAAGUAGACUUUCCAGCCCCAAUCAAACCUUCAUGUAGACUACAUACAAAAUGGACUGUCACCUAGGUUGCAACCUUACUAAAGAUCCAGAAUCAAAACCAUUCACCCAAGCCAUUCCUGGAUCCCUGAUCCAAAGAAACUAGCCUUUCUGAUAUCCACAUCCCUUCUAUGGCUUCACCUGCUCAUAGCUGGCUGAAAUCCCUUCUCAUAGGACUCAGAACUUAGUACUACCCCCACCCCACUCCCACCAGCUAACAGGAAGAUACUGAUACAACUGUAAAGCACAAAUCUAGCUUCCUAAAAGCUGGCAGCUGCCUUCCCUACCUGCUACAUCCUUUACCGGCUCCAGCAACUGAAACACUCCCUGUGCUGCUGAUCCAGCUCCCCUACUGCACUAGUAAAAAUUGCUCGAGGGUAUUGUCUCUGUUUCCCCAUCACUUGCACAGCACCAACAGGAACAUGGGUGCUCAACCUCUCUCCUCUACAGUGAAGCAUCAGCACGGAAUGGUAGUUAAAACCGACAGUGGUAGAGCUGCCCUUGGCCUCGAAUCCUAGCUCUGCCCCACUUCCUACCUAUGUGAGUUUGGGCAAAUUAUUCUGUCUCAGUUUUUGCAGAAGUAAAAUGGGGAAUAAAAAAGCACAGACUUUCAUAGGG